rnacentral:rRNA from 1 species
UACAUCGGAACGUGCCCAAUCGUGGGGGAUAACGCAGCGAAAGCUGUGCUAAUACCGCAUACGAUCUACGGAUGAAAGCAGGGGAUCGCAAGGCCUUGCGCGAAUGGAGCGGCCGAUGGCAGAUUAGGUAGUUGGUGAGGUAAAGGCUCACCAAGCCUUCGAUCUGUAGCUGGUCUGAGAGGACGACCAGCCACACUGGGACUGAGACACGGCCCAGACUCCUACGGGAGGCAGCAGCC